GAAACGUAGCUCAGCUGGGAGAGCGGUAGCUUCACACGCUAUAGGUCGCAGGUUCGAGUCCUGUCGUUUCC
rnacentral:tRNA from 1 species